AAUGGGGGGGAAGGGCUGUGGAGCCCCGCGCCUGUUCCCAGGCUGUUUCCGUCCCCCUGUGUCCUCACCACGUAGCGAAAAUGAAACCGCGAGAGAUGAAGUUCAACUCAACUGCUAAGUAGCUGAGUCAGAAUUUGACCCCAAGCCAGAUGAUCUUUGUUAUGGGGUAUAUGGAGAAAAAUAACACCGAAAGGCCUGAAUGCGUCAAAUUGUGGGCCAGUACAAUCUUGUUUCCGGCACUGUUGCUGUUCUGGGGCCUGAAGCAUGUAGGGACAAGGUGCAGCUAGGGGCUUGAGAACCACCAACCUUGAGACAUGCAUUCUGCUUGUUUGUUUGUUUGUUUGUUUGUUUAGGGGUUUUGUUCGAGACAUGCUCUCAACUCAGCUGUCCAAGAGCCCACUAUACAGAGGAUGACCUUGGCUGUCUGAUUCUUCGGCUUCUGCCUCAUGCUGGGGUUGCAGGCUUGUGUUUUAGAGUUCUUCUUAGAGAUGGAAUUAUGUGGGAGAACUGUGCUUGGUGCCGGACAUGGCAAUGUCUCCACGAAAUGAGAUUCUCUUCUCAAUUGCUACAUUCUAGUUGGACAGAGAACAAGUAGCUCCACUGCAU
rnacentral:lncRNA from 1 species